rnacentral:rRNA from 1 species
AUAGCCCGUCCCAAUCUUCGGGUUGGGGCCAGGUGUGUGGAUGGGUAGGGGAGCGUCCUGUGGCCGUGGAAGCAGCAGUGUGAACUAGCUGUGGAGGCCAUGGGAGUGAGAAUGCAGGCAUGAGUAGCGAAAGACGAGUGAGAAACUCGUCCGCCGAAUGACCAAGGGUUCCUGGGCCAGGUUAAUCCGCCCAGGGUGAGUCGGGACCUAAGGCGAGGCCGACAGGCGUAGUCGAUGGACAACGGGUUGAUAUUCCCGUACCCGUGUAUCCGCGCCCAAUGCUGAAUCAGUUGUGCUAAGUAUCCAAAUGUUGUCUUACCGAGCCUUCGGGCGAGGGGGAUGGCGGCUGCAUAUGACCCCGAUUGUAGUAGGUAAGCGAUGGGGUGACGCAGGAAGGUAGCUGGGCCAGGUGAUGGAAUACCUGGUGUAAGCGUGUAGGGAGUGUGAUAGGCAAAUCCGUCGCACAUGUAUCCUGAGACGUGAUGCGUACCCGUUGAGGGGAAUUCAGUGAUCCUAUGCUGCCGAGAAAAGCCUCUAGCGAGCUGGUACAUGGCCCGUACCCCAAACCGACACAGGUGGUCAGGUAGAGAAUACUAAGGCGAUCGAGAGAACUGUGGUUAAGGAACUCGGCAAAAUGCCCCCGUAACUUCGGGAGAAGGGGGACCACAUCUGGUGACGAUCUUUACGGUCUGAGCUGGGUGGGGUCGCAGAGACCAGAGAGAAGCGACUGUUUACUAAAAACACAGGUCCGUGCGAAGUCGUAAGACGAUGUAUACGGACUGACGCCUGCCCGGUGCCGGAAGGUUAAGAGGACCGGUUAGCCACUUGUGGCGAAGCUGAGAAUUUAAGCCCCGGUAAACGGCGGUGGUAACUAUAACCAUCCUAAGGUAGCGAAAUUCCUUGUCGGGUAAGUUCCGACCUGCACGAAUGGCGUAACGACUUCUCUGCUGUCUCAACCACAGACUCGGCGAAAUUGCAUUACGAGUAAAGAUGCUCGUUACGCGCGGCAGGACGAAAAGACCCCGGGACCUUCACUAUAGCUUGGUAUUGGUGUUCGGUACGGUUUGUGUAGGAUAGGUGGGAGACUGUGAAGCGGGCACGCUAGUGUUUGUGGAGUCGUCGUUGAAAUACCACUCUGAUCGUAUUGGACUUCUAACCUCGGACCAUGAUCUGGUUCAGGGACAGUGCCUGGUGGGUAGUUUAACUGGGGCGGUUGCCUCCUAAAAUGUAACGGAGGCGCCCAAAGGUUCCCUCAGCCUGGUUGGCAAUCAGGUGUUGAGUGCAAGUGCACAAGGGAGCUUGACUGUGAGACUGACAGGUCGAGCAGGGACGAAAGUCGGGACUAGUGAUCCGGCACCGGCAAGUGGAAGCGGUGUCGCUCAACGGAUAAAAGGUACCCCGGGGAUAACAGGCUGAUCUUCCCCAAGAGUCCAUAUCGACGGGAUGGUUUGGCACCUCGAUGUCGGCUCGUCGCAUCCUGGGGCUGGAGUAGGUCCCAAGGGUUGGGCUGUUCGCCCAUUAAAGCGGCACGCGAGCUGGGUUUAGAACGUCGUGAGACAGUUCGGUCUCUAUCCGCCGCGCGCGUUAGAAACUUGAGGAAGGCUGUCCCUAGUACGAGAGGACCGGGACGGACGAACCUCUGGUGUGCCAGUUGUUCCGCCAGGAGCACUGCUGGUUGGCUACGUUCGGAAGGGAUAACCGCUGAAAGCAUCUAAGCGGGAAGCCUGUUCCAAGAUGAGGUUUCUCUCCACCUUGAGUGGUUAAGGCCCCCUACAGACCAUGGGGUUGAUAGGCCGGAACUGGAAGCCAGGUAACUGGUGUAGGUGACUGGUACUAAUAGGCCGAGGGCUUACUUAU